GUCAGCGCCAACCAAAAGACACGUGGGCUCUGGGAACGAGAUUGAGCUUAAGCGGGUCGCGGGUUAGAGGGUAAUAAGAAGGAUCUCUAAUUUGACUCUCCACUCUAGGGUAUCAUGAUUUCUCUAAUAAAAUUUUUCCCCGGCAGAGCCACCGAGGGUUUCAAUUUACAUUGAACAGAGUGGUAGUUAGUGCAUCUUUCGGAUAAAUGAGCUUUGCAACAGAAACCAUUUCGCAUCAGUGAAUGUUUCUGCUUUGCUCCCUCACUAUGUAAAUAAAGAUUACUUUAUGGUUAGUGAGUGCGCGCAAUUUAUCUCGAUAAAUGUAUGUGGUCAGGGCUGACUGAGAACAAUAAUGAGGAGCCCGUAGCAAUACCCUUGGUUCGUUACGAGGACGUCUAAUUUGCCCAACUACCAAUGAGAAGUCGUACUUGUGGACAGUAGACAAUUACAUCGAUUACCUGUUGACCCACAGCAUGCACACAAAUAGAACGUGGCCGAUAUCCCACAAUCUUGACCUCACGCUUGGUCGAUAACCCAGCUGUGCCACAAAUUGUAAUUUGUAAUUGACUCGUGGACAUUCUCUCAAAUCAUUUAAACUGUGACACUUAAAAGAAUAUGAGCUGACAGCUCAUCCUUUGGAAACGGUGUUGCCAUCUUCUUAUGCGUUUUGAAUUAUUUCAUCAUGAGAGAAGAUACAAUGACAAGGUCGCAAAGCACCAAUGUCUCCUGCUUACUUUUGUAUAUCAAACUCCCAUAUGAGAUCUACUUAGCCGAAAAUUUACGUCUUUGAAUUCCCCAGGUACGUACAACUCUUAUUACAGCAGGCAAAACCCUGGCAAUAAAAGAAAUAAAAUAAAAUAAUGAAAAACAAAACAAAACAAAAAAACUGGCCUAUACUGUUCAGUUUACCUCGGUAAACUUUCCUGGAGUAACACUACGUGAAAUACCCACGUUCCCCAAAGGAACCUUGUAAUGAACUAGGUAAACAGGGCAAGUGAAUUCAAACCACGGCUAAUACCACACCUGUGAUCAGACACAAGUACAACGCUAACUGCGAAAAGAUUGAUUCAAACUGUACCUUGAAUUCUUCCUUUUAAUGUAUUUGAUUGUUUUUUUUAUUUUUUCAUUAUUUUUAGGUUAAUUGGAAAUCGAACGCUUAGAUCUCUGGAAUAUUCCAGCGCUCACUUUUUCAGCAGGAUAUACAUAAAUCCAUUCGAUUCCGAAGAUGGAGCUAUCUUUUUUGAUCCGUCAUUCGAAUGGUACGUAGGCGAAAGCUUCAAGCACGGCAUUUUGGGCACAGGAUUCAAACAAGUACCUUACAAUCACUCUUCUGACAUAAAAUUUCUACCAUGUCCUCCGGGAACGUACUCCAAUUCAUCUUCUAGAGGUGUUAAAGGAUGUAUACAAUGCCCUCCAGGUAA